rnacentral:rRNA from 1 species
GGUUAAGCGACUAAGCGUACACGGUGGAUGCCCUGGCAGUCAGAGGCGAUGAAGGACGUGCUAAUCUGCGAUAAGCGUCGGUAAGGUGAUAUGAACCGUUAUAACCGGCGAUUUCCGAAUGGGGAAACCCAGUGUGAUUCGUCACACUAUCAUUAACUGAAUCCAUAGGUUAAUGAGGCGAACCGGGGGAACUGAAACAUCUAAGUACCCCGAGGAAAAGAAAUCAACCGAGAUUCCCCCAGUAGCGGCGAGCGAACGGGGAGCAGCCCAGAGCCUGAAUCAGUGUGUGUGUUAGUGGAAGCGUCUGGAAAGGCGCGCGAUACAGGGUGACAGCCCCGUACACAAAAAUGCACAUGCUGUGAGCUCGAUGAGUAGGGCGGGACACGUGGUAUCCUGUCUGAAUAUGGGGGGACCAUCCUCCAAGGCUAAAUACUCCUGACUGACCGAUAGUGAACCAGUACCGUGAGGGAAAGGCGAAAAGAACCCCGGCGAGGGGAGUGAAAAAGAACCUGAAACCGUGUACGUACAAGCAGUGGGAGCACGCUUAGGCGUGUGACUGCGUACCUUUUGUAUAAUGGGUCAGCGACUUAUAUUCUGUAGCAAGGUUAACCGAAUAGGGGAGCCGAAGGGAAACCGAGUCUUAACUGGGCGUUAAGUUGCAGGGUAUAGACCCGAAACCCGGUGAUCUAGCCAUGGGCAGGUUGAAGGUUGGGUAACACUAACUGGAGGACCGAACCGACUAAUGUUGAAAAAUUAGCGGAUGACUUGUGGCUGGGGGUGAAAGGCCAAUCAAACCGGGAGAUAGCUGGUUCUCCCCGAAAGCUAUUUAGGUAGCGCCUCGUGAAUUCAUCUCCGGGGGUAGAGCACUGUUUCGGCAAGGGGGUCAUCCCGACUUACCAACCCGAUGCAAACUACGAAUACCGGAGAAUGUUAUCACGGGAGACACACGGCGGGUGCUAACGUCCGUCGUGAAGAGGGAAACAACCCAGACCGCCAGCUAAGGUCCCAAAGUCAUGGUUAAGUGGGAAACGAUGUGGGAAGGCCCAGACAGCCAGGAUGUUGGCUUAGAAGCAGCCAUCAUUUAAAGAAAGCGUAAUAGCUCACUGGUCGAGUCGGCCUGCGCGGAAGAUGUAACGGGGCUAAACCAUGCACCGAAGCUGCGGCAGCGACGCUGAUGCGUUGUUGGGUAGGGGAGCGUUCUGUAAGCCUGCGAAGGUGUGCUGUGAGGCAUGCUGGAGGUAUCAGAAGUGCGAAUGCUGACAUAAGUAACGAUAAAGCGGGUGAAAAGCCCGCUCGCCGGAAGACCAAGGGUUCCUGUCCAACGUUAAUCGGGGCAGGGUGAGUCGACCCCUAAGGCGAGGCCGAAAGGCGUAGUCGAUGGGAAACAGGUUAAUAUUCCUGUACUUGGUGUUACUGCGAAGGGGGGACGGAGAAGGCUAUGUUGGCCGGGCGACGGUUGUCCCGGUUUAAGCGUGUAGGCUGGUUUUCCAGGCAAAUCCGGAAAAUCAAGGCUGAGGCGUGAUGACGAGGCACUACGGUGCUGAAGCAACAAAUGCCCUGCUUCCAGGAAAAGCCUCUAAGCAUCAGGUAACAUCAAAUCGUACCCCAAACCGACACAGGUGGUCAGGUAGAGAAUACCAAGGCGCUUGAGAGAACUCGGGUGAAGGAACUAGGCAAAAUGGUGCCGUAACUUCGGGAGAAGGCACGCUGAUAUGUAGGUGAAGUCCCUCGCGGAUGGAGCUGAAAUCAGUCGAAGAUACCAGCUGGCUGCAACUGUUUAUUAAAAACACAGCACUGUGCAAACACGAAAGUGGACGUAUACGGUGUGACGCCUGCCCGGUGCCGGAAGGUUAAUUGAUGGGGUUAGCGCAAGCGAAGCUCUUGAUCGAAGCCCCGGUAAACGGCGGCCGUAACUAUAACGGUCCUAAGGUAGCGAAAUUCCUUGUCGGGUAAGUUCCGACCUGCACGAAUGGCGUAAUGAUGGCCAGGCUGUCUCCACCCGAGACUCAGUGAAAUUGAACUCGCUGUGAAGAUGCAGUGUACCCGCGGCAAGACGGAAAGACCCCGUGAACCUUUACUAUAGCUUGACACUGAACAUUGAGCCUUGAUGUGUAGGAUAGGUGGGAGGCUUUGAAGUGUGGACGCCAGUCUGCAUGGAGCCGACCUUGAAAUACCACCCUUUAAUGUUUGAUGUUCUAACGUGGACCCGUAAUCCGGGUUGCGGACAGUGUCUGGUGGGUAGUUUGACUGGGGCGGUCUCCUCCUAAAGAGUAACGGAGGAGCACGAAGGUUGGCUAAUCCUGGUCGGACAUCAGGAGGUUAGUGCAAUGGCAUAAGCCAGCUUGACUGCGAGCGUGACGGCGCGAGCAGGUGCGAAAGCAGGUCAUAGUGAUCCGGUGGUUCUGAAUGGAAGGGCCAUCGCUCAACGGAUAAAAGGUACUCCGGGGAUAACAGGCUGAUACCGCCCAAGAGUUCAUAUCGACGGCGGUGUUUGGCACCUCGAUGUCGGCUCAUCACAUCCUGGGGCUGAAGUAGGUCCCAAGGGUAUGGCUGUUCGCCAUUUAAAGUGGUACGCGAGCUGGGUUUAGAACGUCGUGAGACAGUUCGGUCCCUAUCUGCCGUGGGCGCUGGAGAACUGAGGGGGGCUGCUCCUAGUACGAGAGGACCGGAGUGGACGCAUCACUGGUGUUCGGGUUGUCAUGCCAAUGGCACUGCCCGGUAGCUAAAUGCGGAAGAGAUAAGUGCUGAAAGCAUCUAAGCACGAAACUUGCCCCGAGAUGAGUUCUCCCUGACUCCUUGAGAGUCCUGAAGGAACGUUGAAGACGACGACGUUGAUAGGCCGGGUGUGUAAGCGCAGCGAUGCGUUGAGCUAACCGGUACUAAUGAACCGUGAGGCUUAACCUU